rnacentral:rRNA from 1 species
UACGUAGGGAGCAAGCGUUGUCCGGAAUCAUUGGGCGUAAAGCGCGCGUAGGUGGCUUCAUAAGUCCGUUGUGAAAGUCAAAGGCUCAACCUUUGAAAGCCGAUGGAUACUGUGGAGCUAGAGUACGGAAGAGGCGAGUGGAAUUCCUGGUGUAGCGGUGGAAUGCGCAGAUAUCAGGAGGAACACCGGUGGCGAAGGCGGGUCUCUGGGCAGUAACUGACGCUGAGGAGCGAAAGCGUGGGGAGCGAACAGG